rnacentral:tRNA from 1 species
GUCUCGAAAUCUGUAAGGGCAAGACUGUAAAUCUUGAGGUCGCUGGUUCGAUCCCGGCUCGGGGGA